CACGUAGUUAGCCGGGGCUUCUUAGUCAGGUACCGUCAUUUUCUUCCCUGCUGAUAGAAGUUUACAUACCGAGAUACUUCUUCCUUCACGCGGCGUCGCUGCAUCAGGGUUUCCCCCAUUGUGCAAUAUCCCCCACUGCUGCCUCCCGUAGGAGUCUGGGCCGUGUCUCAGUCCCAAUGUGGCCGUUCACCCUCUCAGGCCGGCUACUGAUCGUCGGCUUGGUAGGCCGUUACCCCACCAACUACCUAAUCAGACGCGGGUCCAUCUCAUACCACCUCAGUUUUUCACACCAGACCAUGCGGUCCUGUGCGCUUAUGCGGCAUUAGCAGCCAUUUCUAACUGUUAUUCCCCUGUAUGAGGCAGGUUACCCACGCGUUACUCACCCGUCCGCCGCUCAGUCAAAUAUCAAAUCUUCCGAAGAGUCAAUGAUAAGUGCUUCGCUCGACUUGCAUGUGUUAAGCACGCCGCCAGCGUUCAUCCUGAGCCAGGAUA
rnacentral:rRNA from 1 species